AGAGCUAUGUGCUUUCUGUUUCACGUACACGUCAAUGUAUCUUGGUAAGGUAAUGGUUGAGGUUAUGAACGGUGAAGGUAUCGGUAAGGUUAAAUGGUAAAGGUAUCGGUAUGGUUAAAUGGUAAAGGUAUCAGGUAAGUUGUCUUGUAGUAGCCUCAUUGAAUUACUAUUACUACUUAAGUAAUAAUAGUUCGAUGUGGUAGGUAGCCACAA
rnacentral:misc_RNA from 1 species